rnacentral:rRNA from 1 species
UACAGAGACUGCAAGCGUUAUUCGGAUUCACUGGGCGUAAAGGGUGCGCAGGCGGCCGAGUGUGUGAGGCGUGAAAGCCCGGGGCUUAACCCCGGAAUUGCACCUCAAACUACACGGCUAGAGCAUUGGAGAGGGUAGCAGAAUUCAUGGUGUAGCAGUGAAAUGCGUAGAGAUCGGGAGGAACACCAGUGGCGAAGGCGGCUACCUGGACCAGCACUGACACUGAGGCACGAAAGCGUGGGGAGCAAACAGG